rnacentral:rRNA from 1 species
ACAGAUGGGAGCUUGCUCCCUGAUGUUAGCGGCGGACGGGUGAGUAACACGUGGGUAACCUGCCUGUAAGACUGGGAUAACUCCGGGAAACCGGGGCUAAUACCGGAUGGUUGUCUGAACCGCAUGGUUCAGACAUAAAAGGUGGCUUCGGCUACCACUUACAGAUGGACCCGCGGCGCAUUAGCUAGUUGGUGAGGUAACGGCUCACCAAGGCGACGAUGCGUAGCCGACCUGAGAGGGUGAUCGGCCACACUGGGACUGAGACACGGCCCAGACUCCUACGGGAGGCAGCAGUAGGGAAUCUUCCGCAAUGGACGAAAGUCUGACGGAGCAACGCCGCGUGAGUGAUGAAGGUUUUCGGAUCGUAAAGCUCUGUUGUUAGGGAAGAACAAGUGCCGUUCAAAUAGGGCGGCACCUUGACGGUACCUAACCAGAAAGCCACGGCUAACUACGUGCCAGCAGCCGCGGUAAUACGUAGGUGGCAAGCGUUGUCCGGAAUUAUUGGGCGUAAAGGGCUCGCAGGCGGUUUCUUAAGUCUGAUGUGAAAGCCCCCGGCUCAACCGGGGAGGGUCAUUGGAAACUGGGGAACUUGAGUGCAGAAGAGGAGAGUGGAAUUCCACGUGUAGCGGUGAAAUGCGUAGAGAUGUGGAGGAACACCAGUGGCGAAGGCGACUCUCUGGUCUGUAACUGACGCUGAGGAGCGAAAGCGUGGGGAGCGAACAGGAUUAGAUACCCUGGUAGUCCACGCCGUAAACGAUGAGUGCUAAGUGUUAGGGGGUUUCCGCCCCUUAGUGCUGCAGCUAACGCAUUAAGCACUCCGCCUGGGGAGUACGGUCGCAAGACUGAAACUCAAAGGAAUUGACGGG